rnacentral:ncRNA from 1 species
GACUGGAAUGAUGGCAAAUGAUGCCUGGGCAGAGUGAAGCCAGAGGAAAGUCUGGUGGAGGACUAUAGCAAGUCCUAUGCGGAUCCCUCAUCUGACCUAGAUAGAGGAGAGAAAGACUGAGUCAUUUAGUAGCUGG